GUGAGCAAGUGAUGUAAUGCUAAAUUUCUCCAAAUCUGUUCCCAAGAAAAACAAACCCAUCUACAUCUUAGUCUAAACA